GGAACAUCCCCGGUGUGUCUUGCAUACCAUAGCACCAGUACUAACAGAGCUGUUUUACCAGGAACGUGGAGCAGCCUCUGCUUCGGACAGGAGGACGUCCGUCCCAGGAGAAAGAGCAUCAGUUCUCAGUUGGGCCACCUUCCAUGCGAUGGAGCAACGUAGCUAAGCUGUAGGUUGCCUUAUGCUUGCAACACUGCAACCCCGAGGAAGUCUGCAUCUGCAGAGAUCUGCCUUCAUGCCUGGACUGAUAAGCGACGCUGGGGAAGCGUCUUGGCCAGAUGCUGCUGCAGUAUCCCGCCUCCUCAUCGCAUCGCCCUCUGGAAGACAGAAGUGACGAUCAGCAGCGUGGUGUUGUCCUGCAGGCAGCUGAAGAACCACUUUGACAGCAAGCAGGAGAACAACUAUGCAGUGUAAUCACAGCCUGUCUGUGCUCUUUCUAACAGUGUACAUGAGCACCCUAUUCCCAGCGAGGGGAUGCUGUAACCUCCCCCUGCUGACCUGUAUUCUUCUCCGUUACUGUAACCAAGCUGUUUCUUUCCCACAGCCACGCGUUCCUGCAGAUAUACCAAGGGUUCCCAUGCAGAUAGGUUUACAAAUUCAGGAAGGGCUUGGACAGAGCAAAAGGAGAAUGAAGUAAUUCCCAAAUAUUUGCACUGUGGCUGAUGAAAUUAGCAGGAGAGCUGAGUGGGUGUAUAGGGGUCUGCUGGGGGACGGAUGGAAGGAAACCUGGGGACAAACUGUCUCCUGUUCGACGUGCUCUGAGUGCUGUGUGAUAAAGGUGAAUCACCCAGCUUAGCUGCAGGUGAGCCAGCAGGACAGUGGCUGGGGCCGGGUCCCACUGCAGCCUGUGUGGGGGCUGUGUGCUGGGUCCGGUGGGCUUUGAAUCCCACCACAAAGACAGUGGCUGUCGACAAGGUCACGAACGCAGAGCUUCGCCUUCUGUUGAUUAUGUGGUUGUCAGUGGAAGAAUUACUGUGUAUCUAUGGGAAAUGUUAAAAAACAACAACGCCUUUUUUUCUUGAAUAAAUCUGUGAAACGAACCAACCUUUGUUUCUGUUCUGUUUCUUUGGGUUUCAUUCCCUUUGCGCUUAGCGACCCAUCGCUGUCCAACCCCCCCCC
rnacentral:lncRNA from 1 species